CUCCCAGACUCCUACGGGAGGCAGCAGUGGGGGAUAUUGCACAAUGGGCGAAAGCCUGAUGCAGCGACGCCGCGUGAGGGAAGACGGUCUUCGGAUUGUAAACCUCUGUCUUUGGGGAAGAAUAGAGACGGUACCCAAAGAGGAAGCUCCGGCUAACUACGUGCCAGCAGCCGCGGUAAUACGUAGGGAGCAAGCGUUGUCCGGAAUUACUGGGUGUAAAGGGAGCGUAGGCGGGAAGACAAGUUGAAUGUUUAAACUAUCGGCUCAACCGAUAAUCGCGUUCAAAACUGUUUUUCUUGAGUGAAGUAGAGGCAGGCGGAAUUCCUAGUGUAGCGGUGAAAUGCGUAGAUAUUAGGAGGAACACCAGUGGCGAAGGCGGCCUGCUGGGCUUUAACUGACGCUGAGGCUCGAAAGCGUGGGUAGCAAACAGGAUUAGAUACCCCUGUA
rnacentral:rRNA from 1 species